rnacentral:rRNA from 1 species
ACAGCAGUCGCCGCGGGAAUACGAAGGGGGCUAGCGUUGCUCGGAAUGACUGGGCGUAAAGGGCGCGUAGGCGGAUUGUUUAGUUAGGCGUGAAAUUCCUGGGCUUAACCUGGGGACUGCGCUUAAUACAGGCAGUCUAGAGUGAGGAAGAGGGUUGUGGAAUUCCCAGUGUAGAGGUGAAAUUCGUAGAUAUUGGGAAGAACACCGGUGGCGAAGGCGGCAACCUGGUCCUUGACUGACGCUGAGGCGCGAAAGCGUGGGGAGCAAACAGGACUAGAUACCCGCGUAGUCCCUGUCUCUUAUAC